UACAGAGGGUGCGGGCGUUAAUCGGAAUUACUGGGCGUAAAGCGCGCGUAGGCGGCUUUGCAAGUCGGGUGUGAAAUCCCCAGGCUUAACCUGGGAACUGCAUUCGAGACUGCAUUGCUAGAGUAUGGGAGAGGGAAGUGGAAUUUCCGGUGUAGCGGUGAAAUGCGUAGAUAUCGGAAGGAACAUCAGUGGCGAAAGCGACUUCCUGGACCAAUACUGACGCUCAUGUGCGAAAGCGUGGGGAGCAAACAGG
rnacentral:rRNA from 1 species